rnacentral:miRNA from 1 species
CUUGGACUGAAGGGAGCUCCCU